rnacentral:sRNA from 1 species
AUAAAAAAGAGACCGGAUAAAGUCCUCUAUCCGGUCCAGGGAAAAGGCUCAUAGCGAGCCGUGCGCUAAAAUUGCCAUUGAAAAUAUCGUACAACCUACAUGAUUAAGAUUAGUCGGUUUGAUUACAU